GACGAACGCUGGCGGCGUGCCUAACACAUGCAAGUCGAGCGGAGCCAUAUCGAAGAUUCUUCGGAUGAUUUGAUGGAAGCUUAGCGGCGGACGGGUGAGUAACGCGUGAGUAACCUGCCUGUAAGAGGGGAAUAAUUCAUGGAAACGUGGACUAAUACCGCAUAUUGAGUAUUUAUCGCAUGGUAGAUGCUUGAAAGAUUUAUCGCUUACAGAUGGACUCGCGUCUGAUUAGCUAGUAGGUAGGGUAACGGCCUACCUAGGCGACGAUCAGUAGCCGAACUGAGAGGUUGAUCGGCCACAUUGGGACUGAGACACGGCCCAG
rnacentral:rRNA from 1 species